GUAAAAGUUCUCCAUCUCUUCCCACCCAGCAAAACCACUUUUUUUGCUGGGUGGGAAGAGAUGGAGAACUUUAAC